GACGAACGCUGGCGGCGUGCUUAACACAUGCAAGUCGAACGGAAAGGCCCUGCUUUUGUGGGGUGCUCGAGUGGCGAACGGGUGAGUAACACGUGAGUAACCUGCCCUUGACUUUGGGAUAACUUCAGGAAACUGGGGCUAAUACCGGAUAGGAGCUCCUGCUGCAUGGGGGGGGUUGGAAAGUUUCGGCGGUUGGGGAUGGACUAGCGGGUUAUCAGCUUGUUGGUGGGGUAGUGGCUUACCAAGGCUUUGACGGGUAGCCGGCCUGAGAGGGUGACCGGCGACAUUGGGACUGAGAUACGGCCCAGACUCCUACGGGAGGCAGCAGUGGGGAAUAUUGCACAAUGGGCGGAAGCCUGAUGCAGCAGCGCCGCGUGCGGGAUGACGGCCUUCGGGUUGUAAACCGCUUUCGCCUGUGACGAAGCGUGAGUGACGGUAAUGGGUAAAGAAGCACCGGCUAACUACGUG
rnacentral:rRNA from 1 species